rnacentral:rRNA from 1 species
ACGAACGCUGGCGGCGUGCCUAAUACAUGCAAGUAGAACGCACAGUUUAUACCGUAGCUUGCUACACCAUAGACUGUGAGUUGCGAACGGGUGAUUAACGCGUAGGUAACCUGCCUGUUAGCGGGGGAUAACUAUUUGCAACGAUAGCUAAUACCGCAUAAUAUUAAUUAUUGCCUGAUACUUAAUUGAAAGGUUCAAUUUCACCACUACCAGAUGGACCUGCGUUGUAUUAGCUAGUAGGUGAGGUAACGGCUCACCUAGGCGACGAUACAUAGCCGACCUGAGAGGGUGAUCGGCCACACUGGGACUGAGACAAGGCCCAGACUCCUACGGGAGGCAGCAGUAGGGAAUCUUCGGAAAUGGACGAAAGUCUGACCGAGCAACGCCGCGUGAGUGAAGAAGGUUUUCGGAUCGUAAAGCUCUGUUGUAAGAGAAGAACGGGUGUGAGAGUGGAAAGUUCACACUGUGACGGUAUCUUACCAGAAAGGGACGGCUAACUACGU